AGGCGCAAGGCCCUGGCGCAGUCUGUGGUGAAGGAGUGAGGUUUGAGAGAGGCCUUGAACCCUGGAGGACCCUGGAGGGGCCUGGAGCUCCCAGCCGGGCCUGCUCCAGCCCAGGAGGGAACAGCAGCAGCACAAGUCCGUGCGUCUCGGAUGGAGGCUUCAUUUGUCCAGAGCCCUCCAGGCGCCUUUGGGAGCUAAGAUGUGGGUCUCCCUGUUCCCAUGUGAGGAUUCCGAGGCCCCGUGGAAACCCAUAACCGACAUCCAGCAAGGUGAACGGUUGUUUGCUAGGGAGAACAUCUGCUGCGGUCCUCACGCUCCAUCCCAGAGGUCAGUCUCCUGCAGUUAAUCCUAAUACAAGAAAUACAAGAGAAGCCCACCAUGUCCUGUCAAGUGAGAGCCGCCCAGGUGUGACCAGCCCACCUGACCACCAUGCACUGGAGAGGCUGGAGCUAACCAUGGGGCCCAGGCUUUAAUGUGGGUGCUUCCGCCAGAGGUGAGAGCUAUUGGGGUGUCCUCAGAUGCAAAGGACAGUAAUUAAUGCAUGUUAUUUUUCCUUUGAUCACUAUUUCUGCGCUUUAAAAAGAACUUUAAUCUUUUCUCAUGGAUAAUUUCAAACACACGAAGAAUAGAGAGAAGAGUAAUCCUUAUAUACUCCUUACACAGAACAAAUCUCAUUUUAAUAGAAAUUCCAUGUCAUAUUAUUUCAGCAAUAACUGCUUGCGUAUGUCAGUCUAGC
rnacentral:lncRNA from 10 species